rnacentral:rRNA from 1 species
AUUGAACGCUGGCGGCAGGCCUAACACAUGCAAGUCGAGCGGAUGAAGCGAGUUUGCUCCUGGAUUCAGCGGCGGACGGGUGAGUAAUGCCUAGGAAACUGCCUCGUAGUGGGGGGUAAAGUCCGGUAACGGGCGGUAAUACCGCAUACGUCCCGCGGGAGAAAGUGGGGGAGUUUGGGACCUCCCGCUAUCAGAUGAGCCUAGGUCGGAUUAGCUAGUUGGUGGGGUAAAGGCCUACCAAGGCGACGAUCCGUAACUGGUCUGAGAGGAUGAUCAGUCACACUGGAACUGAGACACGGUCCAGACUCCUACGGGAGGCAGCAGUGGGGAAUAUUGGACAAUGGGCGAAAGCCUGAUCCAGCCAUGCCGCGUGUGUGAAGAAGGUCUUCGGAUUGUAAAGCACUUUAAGUUGGGAGGAAGGGCAGUAAGUUAAUACCUUGCUGUUUUGACGUUACCAACAGAAUAAGCACCGGCUAACUUCGUG